AUGCAUUUCCUGCAUUGCUGCCAUUGCUGUGGGGAGCUGAUGGCGCUGAUGGUCAGGCAGUUUGCACGAGGAAUGGAGUGGAAUAACAUUUCUUGCAGGGUUUGCAAAAUCAUGGUGCUUCCCAUACAAGAGCGAUCCAACAACGUUCAGCCAAGUAUUUUAAUCACGUGGUCCGGAAACAAACAGUUGGGAAUAGUGAAAUCCGCUUCACUGUUAUUAGGUUUCAGAGUUAAUUUCACCCUACAAGCUGUCAGGCCACCCUUUUUUGCAAGAUGAUGAAGAUGGCCCCUUGUCAUAUCUCACUGAACAGCUAGCAGUCUUUGCAGUGUAGUGCUUUUAAAGUAAAGUGAAGUUUCGAGUGCAAUCCUUCAGCAAAUUCCUUGGUUCUGGAAUUGUAGAAUUCCCAGGGGCCCACACAGUUUUAGGUCACUUACCUCAGGAAACAUUAAAAUCUCCUGUGAAUGCGGAUAGCCAUACCUCGUUAUAUUUCAUGAUGUCUCAGCAUCUGGCCUUUGGUUCCACAAGUUUUUCUUGUGCUGUUGAAAAUGACGUUUGGGGUUCAUUCAAACCUGAAACGCUGUGAAUGUGAACUCGAAAGCAAAAGAAAUUGUUUGUACAAUCCUCCCUAAAGUGAAACUGCUGUUGAGCGCCUGUGGCCAAAACAGCCUUCUCCUUCCAGUUCAUCAAGGACAACCUGUCCUAGUGCCAUGCCAACAUUUCUUGCUUUCCAUUGCAUCUCUUGGGUGAGCCCCAUAAGCAGUGACCUUGUGACUAAAUGCCUGCCAGAUCUUCUUUCUGGCAAAAACAGCUGCUACUCUUGGCACAUUCAAAUGCCUGUUCAAAUUUUAGAAACUCCUCUAUGAGGUGUUCAUUUUAUUUUCCUUUAACUGCAGAUAAGCAUUCCUCUAAUAAGGAGAAAGACCUCUGCUUAUGGAAUUACAAAAUAUAACUGGAGACGCUGGUGGGAAUUAGCUGCUUUUGCUGCAUGGGCUAUCAUUCUGCAUGCCUUCCUGAUCUGUGAUAUUUUGUUUUAAAAUAUAAAUGCCAUCAUUCAUGUUAUCAGGAAGGAAUUCAUUAUGGUUAAAAUUGCAAUUGGAAAUUAAAGUCAGGAUAUCUGUGAUGCUGUGCAUUUACGCUAGCCUGUGGGAUACCAGCUUAAGACUUCAAGAAAAUAUUAAAUGGAAAUAUUAAGGGUCAAAUCUUGAAUUAUCAUCGAAUCAUGGAACGGGUUGGGUUGGAAGGGACCUUAAAGACUACUUGAUAUGGUAGAUGGAAA
rnacentral:lncRNA from 1 species